rnacentral:rRNA from 2 species
UACGUAGGCAGCAAGCGUUGUUCGGAAUUACUGGGCGUAAAGCGAGUGUAGGUGGUUCGAUAAGUUUGGUGUGAAAUCUCCCGGCUCAACUGGGAGGGUGCGCCGAAGACUGUCGAGCUAGAGUGUGGGAGAGGUAGGCGGAAUUCCUGGUGUAGCGGUGAAAUGCGUAGAUAUCAGGAGGAACACCUGCGGUGUAGACGGCUUACUGGACCACGACUGACACUGAAACUCGAAAGUGUGGGGAGCAAACAGG